AUGACCUCAUAGUCAAUGAGAUCAACCUGGUUCCAAUCACUACCUCCCUCCCCCACUAUGUCCAGGGAUGUAGGCCUGGUCUUUGGCUUGUAGCUUUUCCAGUGAUGUUUUCACCCAAAUUCGGCUCUUCUGAUUCGGACUCUGACAUGGGCGGUGUGUACUGGCCUAUAGUCUGCCUCUUGCGUUUGGAGCGUCUUGGAAGAGUCUCCUCCUCUUCCUCCAGUGGUAAUGGUAUCGAGGCUGUAUCCCUCUCGGACUCUGAGGCUUGCUCGACUCUCGAUGGAGGGGGAGUACCUAUGGUUUCUGCCGGGCCUUCUGGCUGUUCUGAGGGGCCAGGUUUUGGUGUCUGGUGCCUCUGGGAAAGUUAAGCCCCUUAUGAGCGAGAAUGCUGCGGAUCAGCAAGCAGUCAGAAGGAUAACUCAUUGCUUUUCAUCUGCCCUAAUGUCAUUUGCCUGGGAAAAAAAAGUCACAUUCUUUCCACAUGCUGGGCCCAGUCAUCACCAACAGGAUCAAAUGAGUCAAACUUCCCAAAUAAAGGUAUGAUGCCAGAAAUUAUUACUCCGACUCCAAGAUGACGGUAACAAGCGAAUGUUCUUCAGAGACGUCCUGUUUACUCUCAUCGCCACUGAAAUAACUGCACAGAGUUUCAAGUAUGACUGUGUUCCUCAGCUGAGCAAUGGCAAACUAUUAUCGAUGGGGAAUAAAUGAUUUAAUAGAAGCAGCCCAAACCCCUCCUCGUACACAGACGACAUGACCACAACGGCUGAAAUACACUUACCCCUGGUGGCUCCCGUUGGAGUAUUUCUUUGACUUUUUCUUUCCUGGUGUUGAGCUGAAGCCACACUGGACAAGUCCUGAUGAGUUUAUCUGGGAUGCUGAUACCUGGAAACGGUAACGUCGGCGAAGGGAUAGUGGCUGUGGGAGGUUGACCACAUUCAUCUUUCGCCUCUAGCAGUGAACUAAAGGGACACAGAACGUAAGCUCGCUGCAUUAUAGAUAGAGUUUAUGUGGCGAUGGGACCGGUCACAUCAGCACACUAAAACGGUGUUGACAGUUCGAUUCUUUGAUACAACUGCGCGGGUGAAGUCAGACUUUGCAAAGUUGAAUUUGCACGUUAAUACACAAAUAUGUAAAAUGCAUUAGGAGAAAGCUCCUGGGAUAGCAAGAUGCUUCAUUUCUCUUUGUUAAAAAAAAGCUAUGACCAGUCUGUUAAAUGUUAAGCUACAUACCCUGGCAUGU